rnacentral:rRNA from 1 species
GUGUCAGCAGCCGCGGUAAUACGGAGGGUGCAAGCGUUAAUCGGAAUUACUGGGCGUAAAGCGCACGCAGGCGGUUUGUUAAGUCAGAUGUGAAAUCCCGGGGCUCAACCUCGGAACCGCAUUUGAAACUGGUUCACUAGAGUACUGUAGAGGGGGGUAGAAUUUCAGGUGUAGCGGUGGAAUGCGUAGAGAUCUGAAGGAAUACCGGUGGCGAAGGCGGCCCCCUGGACAGAUACUGACACUCAGAUGCGAAAGCGUGGGGAGCAAACAGGUUUAGAUACCCCGGUAGUCC